rnacentral:pre_miRNA from 1 species
GUUUGCAUCUUACCGGGCAGCAUUAGAUUAAUUUGAAAGCUCUAAUACUGUCAGGUAAAGAUGUCGUC